CCCUUAGAUGUUCUGGGCCGCACGCGCGCUACACUGAUGCAUUCAACGAGCCUAUCCUUGACCGACAGGUCCGGGUAAUCUUUGAAUCUGCAUCGUGACGGGGAUAGAUUAUUGCAAUUAUUAAUCUUCAACGAGGAAUGCCUAGUAGGCGCAAGUCAUCAGCUUGCGUCGAUUACGUCCCUGCCCUUUGUACACACCGCCCGUCGCUCCUACCGAUUGGGUGAUCCGGUGAAUAAUUCGGACUGCAGCACUGCUUGGUCUCCAGGCUUUGCAGCGGAAAGUUUAGUGAACCUUAUCACUUAGAGGAAGGAGAAGUCGUAACA
rnacentral:rRNA from 1 species